rnacentral:lncRNA from 1 species
ACCAUAACAAGAGUCUUUUUUUGUGUAUUGUUGAAUACUAAAUCUUCAAAGAGGGUCAUUUUGAUCUAAAUUAUUUUGUUUGGUUUCAGUUAGCGGAGUCUUUCUUAGUCUACCUUGAAUUAUUGGGCCAUCCUCCUCCUAAUCAACUCUUCUUCAUGGGGCUUAUAUUGGUUUUAUCCUCACAUGUCUAAACCCUUUGAGGCACAAUUCUACCAUUCUUUUCGUUAACAUGUGCCGUUCCAUUGUUUUCUUUAAUAGUUUCAUUGCUAAUCUUAUAUGCUAAUGCUACUAGUCGGAUGAAUUUAGAACAAAUUACUUUGCUUAGGAGAGGGCAGGUUUUAGGGUUGAGCUUAAUUUAUGAUAAACUGCAUAAAACAUAAAACUGCAUAUGAUUUUGCAAUAAUGCAACACUGUGAAGUUUAGAGAUAAAUACUUUAUUAAAUCCUCACAAAAAUCAAAGGAUGACUGUGCAAAAAAAAUGUAGGCCGGUCGCUGAAAAUGGGAUUUUAC